rnacentral:sRNA from 1 species
CUGGAAGAAACUUCUUAAAUGACCGCGUCUGGCUGGCCGUGGAGCCUUUCUGGGUUGGGGAGAGGAAAGGAAAGUGGAAAAAACCUGAGAACUUCCUGAUCUCUCUCGCUGUGAGACAUGUCUGAGACUCCUGCUCAGUGUAGCAUUAAGCAGUGCUCCAAGGAUGCGUUGGAAGACUCAUUAUUCAGAGCUGCAGCUGGACUGCCUUAGACAUCUGCAUUUCUCUAUCUCUGAAAUAAGGGACUCAAACAAGAGCAUCACUCUUUUCCUUUCCAGCUCUAAAAUUAUAUGAUUUUUCUUUCACAUGCAGGAACGAAUUUCAUAUACACCUCCAGAGAGCCCAGUGCCGAGUUACGCUUCCUCGACGCCACUUCAUGUUCCAGUGCCUCGAGCGCUCAGGAUGGAGGAAGACUCGAUCCGCCUGCCUGCACACCUGCGUGAGUGUUCGUGACCCGAGAGGGACAGACAAUUGAUGGUGUGGGGCGGGGGUGGCAGGCAGUGGGCUCCAGGCCAGAGAGGGGCAAGCUCUGAGGUGGUUUUCACAGGACUUCGCCACGCUGCUUUGGAAUCUUUCACACCCCCCUACCCCCAAAUACCUUUGAAAAUUUUGAGGUUCCUCUUCCUUGUUUCUCAGUGUAUUCAUUUCUUCCCUGACUAUGAUAUGUUAAAAAAAAACAAGAAACCUGGAAACAUGCAGUAUAUGGCAGAGCCAACGAAAUCUCCUUGUAGACAAGA